AAAAACCUGCAUCUAACCGCCCGGGAGAGGGAACAACUGUUCGCGGCACACGCGCCCAGUGCCGGCGUCGGAGCUUCUCCUCCCCAGCGCCCCUCGGGGAAAAACCUGCAUCUAACCGCCCGGGAGAGGGAGCAACUGUUCGUGGCACACGCGCCCAGUGCCGGUCUCGGUCUCGGAGCUUCUCUUCCUUCACCGGGGCCAAGACAUCCACAGCCCCUGCCUCGGAGAUCCAAUCUAGGGCAUCUCAGAAGGAGGCGUAGGAGGACCAUUAGGCCAAAGAGCACAAGGCAAAGACGCAGACAACGAAACCAGCUUGCGUCCAUCGCUCUUCGAGCUGUAUCUCUGUUCGCUGAAUUAGUGCAACUCAUCUUAUAAUAAGGUUUUAUUUUAUUUUAUUGUUUUUUAUUUUUUA